AUUCAGUUUGCCUGUGCCAUGUCCAUGGUUCUGGAACCCUGGCAAAAGACACACACAGACGUAGUCCUGUAACCAUAUGUUGAUGAUCUACUUCUCUGUGCUGCUGAUCUCCAAACUGCUGAACGAGUUUCUGAGGAUCUCCUUUGCUUCUUAGCUGAAGAAGGCUGCAAGGCCUCUAAAUCAAAGCUUCAAUGGUGCCGGCCCUCAGUGGUCUUCUUGGGACAUUGUCUUUCCCAUGGCACCCGUCACCUUACCAAGGACUGGAUCUUAGCCAUUUUGAAUUUACCAAUUCCUUCUGCUCAUCAAUCUCUCCAUGCCUUUCUAGGCCUCACUACGUAUUGCAGAUCCUGGAUUCCUGAAGCUUCUCAACUGAUGAUGCAAC